CUUACACAGUGACAGACGAACGGCUCGGCUGAUAUUCUAUAUAGCCUCCCGAGGCCGCAAAGCUUUUGGUGAAUGUCCCCAUGUAUACGUCCACAUCUUCAGGGGCCAGUCCAAAGAAGUCUCUGACACCUUGGCCAUUGGGGCCCGUAGCACCAAUACUGUGAGCUUCAUCGAUGUAGAGGGUCUGCUGCUGGGAGAAAUGAACCAAGA